ACCCGCUGAACUUAAGCAUAUCAAUAAGCGGAGGAAAAGAAACCAACAGGGAUUGCCUCAGUAACGGCGAGUGAAGCGGCAACAGCUCAAAUUUGAAAUCUGGCCUCACGGUCCGAGUUGUAAUUUGUAGAGGAUGCUUUUGGCGAGGUGCUUUCCGAGUUCCCUGGAACGGGACGCCAUAGAGGGUGAGAGCCCCGUACGGUAAGACCACCGAGCCUCUGUAAAGCUCCUUCGACGAGUCGAGUAGUUUGGGAAUGCUGCUCUAAAUGGGAGGUGUACGUCUUCUAAAGCUAAAUACCGGCCAGAGACCGAUAGCGCACAAGUAGAGUGAUCGAAAGAUGAAAAGCACUUUGAAAAGAGGGUUAAAAAGUACGUGAAAUUGUUGAAAGGGAAGCAUUCAUAACCAGACUUGGGCUUGGUUGAACAUCCGGCGUUCUCGCCGGUGCACUCUGCCAGUCCAGGCCAGCAUCAGUUUGCCCCGGGGGACAAAGGCGGUGGGAAUGUGGCUCCCUUCGGGGAGUGUUAUAGCCCGCCGUGUAAUGCCCUGGGGCGGACUGAGGAACGCGCUUCGGCACGGAUGCAGGCGUAAUGGUCAUCAAUGACCCGUCUUGAACACGGACCAAGGAG
rnacentral:rRNA from 1 species